rnacentral:rRNA from 1 species
UACAGAGGUCCCGAGCGUUGUUCGGAUUCAUUGGGCGUAAAGGGUGCGUAGGCGGCGCGGUAAGUCGGGUGUGAAAUCUCGGAGCUUAACUCCGAAACUGCAUUCGAUACUGCCGUGCUUGAGGACUGGAGAGGAGACUGGAAUUUACGGUGUAGCGGUGAAAUGCGUAGAUAUCGUAAGGAAGACCAGUGGCGAAGGCGGGUCUCUGGA